CGUGCUUAACACAUGCAAGUCGAACGGAAAGGCCCUGCUUUUGUGGGGUGCUCGAGUGGCGAACGGGUGAGUAACACGUGAGUAACCUGCCCUUGACUUUGGGAUAACUUCAGGAAACUGGGGCUAAUACCGGAUAGGAGCUCCUGCUGCAUGGUGGGGGUUGGAAAGUUUCGGCGGUUGGGGAUGGACUCGCGGCUUAUCAGCUUGUUGGUGGGGUAGUGGCUUACCAAGGCUUUGACGGGUAGCCGGCCUGAGAGGGUGACCGGCCACAUUGGGACUGAGAUACGGCCCAGACUCCUACGGGAGGCAGCAGUGGGGAAUAUUGCACAAUGGGCGGAAGCCUGAUGCAGCAACGCCGCGUGCGGGAUGACGGCCUUCGGGUUGUAAACCGCUUUCGCCUGUGACGAAGCGUGAGUGACGGUAAUGGGUAAAGAAGCACCGGCUAACUACGUGCCAGCAGCCGCGGUGAUACGUAGGGUGCGAGCGUUGUCCGGAUUUAUUGGGCGUAAAGGGCUCGUAGGUGGUUGAUCGCGUCGGAAGUGUAAUCUUGGGGCUUAACCCUGAGCGUGCUUUCGAUACGGGUUGACUUGAGGAAGGUAGGGGAGAAUGGAAUUCCUGGUGGAGCGGUGGAAUGCGCAGAUAUCAGGAGGAACACCAGUGGCGAAGGCGGUUCUCUGGGCCUUUCCUGACGCUGAGGAGCGAAAGCGUGGGGAGCGAACAGGCUUAGAUACCCUGGUAGUCCACGCUGUAAACGGUGGGUACUAGGUGUGGGGUCCAUUCCACGGGUUCCGUGCCGUAGCUAACGCUUUAAGUACCCCGCCUGGGGAGUACGGCCGCAAGGCUAAAACUCAAAGGAAUUGACGGGGCCCCGCACAAGCGGCGGAGCAUGCGGAUUAAUUCGAUGCAACGCGUAGAACCUUACCUGGGUUUGACAUGGAUCGGGAGUGCUCAGAGAUGGGUGUGCCUCUUUUGGGGUCGGUUCACAGGUGGUGCAUGGCUGUCGUCAGCUCGUGUCGUGAGAUGUUGGGUUAAGUCCCGCAACGAGCGCAACCCUUGUUCACUGUUGCCAGCACGUUAUGGUGGGGACUCAGUGGAGACCGCCGGGGUCAACUCGGAGGAAGGUGGGGAUGACGUCAAGUCAUCAUGCCCCUUAUGUCCAGGGCUUCACGCAUGCUACAAUGGCUGGUACAGAGAGUGGCGAGCCUGUGAGGGUGAGCGAAUCUCGGAAAGCCGGUCUCAGUUCGGAUUGGGGUCUGCAACUCGACCUCAUGAAGUCGGAGUCGCUAGUAAUCGCAGAUCAGCAACGCUGCGGUGAAUACGUUCCCGGGGCUUGUACACACCGCCCGUCAAGUCAUGAAAGUUGGUAACACCCGAAGCCGGUGGCCUAACCGUUGUGGGGGAGCCGUCGAAGGUGGGACUGGUGAUUAGGACU
rnacentral:rRNA from 1 species